AGAGUUUGAUCCUGGCUCAGGAUGAACGCUGGCGGCGUGCUUAACACAUGCAAGUCGAACGAUGAAGCCCAGCUUGCUGGGUGGAUUAGUGGCGAACGGGUGAGUAACACGUGAGUAACCUGCCCUUAACUCUGGGAUAAGCCUGGGAAACUGGGUCUAAUACCGGAUAGGAGCGUCCACCGCAUGGUGGGUGUUGGAAAGAUUUAUCGGUUUUGGAUGGACUCGCGGCCUAUCAGCUUGUUGGUGAGGUAAUGGCUCACCAAGGCGACGACGGGUAGCCGGCCUGAGAGGGUGACCGGCCACACUGGGACUGAGACACGGCCCAGACUCCUACGGGAGGCAGCAGUGGGGAAUAUUGCACAAUGGGCGCAAGCCUGAUGCAGCGACGCCGCGUGAGGGAUGACGGCCUUCGGGUUGUAAACCUCUUUCAGUAGGGAAGAAGCGAAAGUGACGGUACCUGCAGAAGAAGCACCGGCUAACUACGUGCCAGCAGCCGCGGUAAUACGUAGGGUGCGAGCGUUAUCCGGAAUUAUUGGGCGUAAAGAGCUCGUAGGCGGUUUGUCGCGUCUGUCGUGAAAGUCCGGGGCUUAACCCCGGAUCUGCGGUGGGUACGGGCAGACUAGAGUGCAGUAGGGGAGACUGGAAUUCCUGGUGUAGCGGUGGAAUGCGCAGAUAUCAGGAGGAACACCGAUGGCGAAGGCAGGUCUCUGGGCUGUAACUGACGCUGAGGAGCGAAAGCAUGGGGAGCGAACAGGAUUAGAUACCCUGGUAGUCCAUGCCGUAAACGUUGGGCACUAGGUGUGGGGACCAUUCCACGGUUUCCGCGCCGCAGCUAACGCAUUAAGUGCCCCGCCUGGGGAGUACGGCCGCA
rnacentral:rRNA from 1 species